rnacentral:rRNA from 1 species
UAGUCGCGUCCAUGAGGACAGACGGGAUUCGGGGGUUGGCCAGCUUUCGUGGGGGGGACGGGCGGGGUGGUACAAGGCCCGGGAACGUAUUCACCGCGGCGUUGCUGAUCCGCGAUUACUAGCAACUCCACCUUCAUGGAGGCGAGUUUCAGCCUCCAAUCCGAACCGAAACCGGCUUUUUGGGAUUCGCUCCACCUCGCGGCAUCUCAACCCUUUGUACCGGCCAAUGUAUCAUGUGUGUACU